GGAGACUCUUCCCCGGGUCGUCAGGGCUAAAGGCCCCUUGGCCAAGGCCUGCUGCCAGAGUGAGGGGCCCUUCUGCUUUGCGAGGAUUUAAAGGGAAGCCGCCUGGCUUAAUUUCGCCCUCGUCUGUCUCCUUGCAAACCUUCGCUCGCUGACCAUACUUUUCAUUGGGCACAGCAUGUGGGGUAGGAGGAAUUAGAAGCGCGCAGUCUGGGUGGGAUGACAGAUGGGAGGCUUUUGGAAGUAAUUAGCAAAUACCUAUCACCGAAUAAUAACACAGCUGAGGGCUGGGCAGUCCCCAAGCGCUUCCUGCACUUGAGGUUUAGUUGCCCCAGAGGGAAAAAGGGUCUGUAGACGGCUUCUGUUUUCUCUCUACUCCUCCACCCCACCCUCCCUCCUGCGUCUUUGGACUUGC
rnacentral:lncRNA from 1 species